rnacentral:rRNA from 1 species
UGGGGAAUUUUGCACAAUGGGGGAAACCCUGAUGCAGCGACGCCGCGUGAUUUAGAAGGCCUUCGGGUUGUAAAAAUCUUUUCUAUGGGAAGAAAAUGACAGUACCAUAGGAAUAAGGACCGGCUAAUUACGUGCCAGCAGCCGCGGUAAUACGUAAGGUCCGAGCGUUGUCCGGAAUCAUUGGGCGUAAAGGGUACGUAGGCGGGUAAGCAAGUUAGAAGUGAAAUCCUAUAGCUCAACUAUAGUAAGCUUUUAAAACUGCUCAUCUUGAGGUAUGGAAGGGAAGGUGGAAUUCCUAGUCUAGCGGUGAAAUGCGCAGAUAUUAGGUGGAAUACCGGUGGCGAAGGCGGCUAUCUGGCCAUAACCUGACGCUGAGGUACGAAAGCGUGGGUAGCAAACAGG